rnacentral:ncRNA from 14 species
GCCUCUUUAGCUCAGUGGUAGAGUACUGGUCUUGUAAACCAGGGGUCGUGAGUUCAAAUCUCACAGGAGGCA